rnacentral:rRNA from 1 species
UUAAGUGAAUAAGGGCGCACGGUGGAUGCCUUGGCACUAGGAGCCGAUGAAGGACGGGACUAACACCGAUAUGCUUUGGGGAGCUGUAAGUAAGCUAUGAUCCAGAGAUUUCCGAAUGGGGGAACCCAAUAUCUUUUAUAGGAUAUUACUUUUCAGUGAAUACAUAGCUGAUUAGAGGUAGACGCAGAGAACUGAAACAUCUUAGUACCUGCAGGAAGAGAAAGAAAAUUCGAUUCCCUGAGUAGCGGCGAGCGAAACGGGAAGAGCCCAAACCAACAAGCUUGCUUGUUGGGGUUGUAGGACUCCAAUAUGGUAGUCUGUUAGUAUAGUUGAAGGAUUUGGAAAAUUCCGCUAAAGAGGGUGAAAGCCCCGUAGACGAAAUGCUAACAACACCUAGGAGGAUCCUGAGUACGGCGGAACACGAGAAAUUCCGUCGGAAUCCGCGGGGACCAUCCCGCAAGGCUAAAUACUCCCUAGUGACCGAUAGUGAACCAGUACCGUGAGGGAAAGGUGAAAAGCACCCCGGAAGGGGAGUGAAAUAGAUCCUGAAACCGUGUGCCUACAACAAGUCAAAGCUCGUUAAUGAGUGAUGGCGUGCCUUUUGUAGAAUGAACCGGCGAGUUACGAUUGCAUGCGAGGUUAAGUCGAAGAGACGGAGCCGCAGCGAAAGCGAGUCUGAAUAGGGCGAAUGAGUAUGUAGUCGUAGACCCGAAACCAUGUGAUCUACCCAUGUCCAGGUUGAAGGUGCGGUAAAACGCACUGGAGGACCGAACCCACGUACGUUGAAAAGUGCGGGGAUGAGGUGUGGGUAGCGGAGAAAUUCCAAACGAACUUGGAGAUAGCUGGUUCUCUCCGAAAUAGCUUUAGGGCUAGCCUCGGAAUUGAGAAUGAUGGAGGUAGAGCACUGUUUGGACUAGGGGCCCAUCUCGGGUUACCGAAUUCAGAUAAACUCCGAAUGCCAUUCAUUUAUAUCCGGGAGUCAGACUGCGAGUGAUAAGAUCCGUAGUCGAAAGGGAAACAGCCCAGACCACCAGCUAAGGUCCCAAAAUAUAUGUUAAGUGGAAAAGGAUGUGGGGUUGCACAGACAACUAGGAUGUUGGCUUAGAAGCAGCCACCAUUUAAAGAGUGCGUAAUAGCUCACUAGUCGAGUGACCCUGCGCCGAAAAUGUACCGGGGCUAAACAUAUUACCGAAGCUGUGGACUACACCAUUAGGUGUAGUGGUAGGAGAGCGUUCUAAGGGCGUUGAAGGUCGAUCGUGAGGACGGCUGGAGCGCUUAGAAGUGAGAAUGCCGGUAUGAGUAGCGAAAGACAGGUGAGAAUCCUGUCCACCGUAUGACUAAGGUUUCCUGGGGAAGGCUCGUCCGCCCAGGGUUAGUCGGGACCUAAGCCGAGGCCGAUAGGCGUAGGCGAUGGACAACAGGUUGAUAUUCCUGUACCAGUUGUUUUUGUUUGAGCAAUGGAGGGACGCAGUAGGCUAAGGAAUGCAUGCGAUUGGAAGUGCAUGUCCAAGCAAUGAGUCUUGAGUAGAGUUAAAUGCUUUACUCUUUAAGGACAAGUUGUGACGGGGAGCGAAAUAAUAGUAGCGAAGUUCCUGAUGUCACACUGCCAAGAAAAGCUUCUAGUGAGAAAACAACUGCCCGUACCGUAAACCGACACAGGUAGUCGAGGAGAGUAUCCUAAGGUGAGCGAGCGAACUCUCGUUAAGGAACUCGGCAAAAUGACCCCGUAACUUCGGGAGAAGGGGUGCUGACGACCGUCAGCCGCAGUGAAUAGGCCCAAGCGACUGUUUAUCAAAAACACAGGUCUCUGCAAAAUCGUAAGAUGAAGUAUAGGGGCUGACGCCUGCCCGGUGCUGGAAGGUUAAGAGGAUGGGUUAGCUUCGGCGAAGCUCAGAAUUGAAGCCCCAGUAAACGGCGGCCGUAACUAUAACGGUCCUAAGGUAGCGAA